rnacentral:rRNA from 1 species
AACGAACGCCAGCGGCGUGGAUUAGGCAUGCAAGUCGAACGUGAUCCGUAGCAAUACGGUGAAAGUGGCGGAAGGGUGAGUAAUGCACAGAUAACCUACCUCAGAGACUGGGAUAACUCCGGGAAACUGGAGCUAAUACCGGAUGGGAUCGCGGGGUCACAUGGUUCUGCGAUUAAAGGUGCCCUCUGAAUAUGGUAGCACUCUGAGAGGGGUCUAUGCCUAUCAGCUAGUUGGUGAGGGUAACGGCCCACCAAGGCUUUGACGGGUAGCCGGCCUUAGCGGGUGUCCGGCCACAUUGGGACUGAGACACUGCCCCAAACUCCUACGGGAGGCUGCAGUCGAGGAUCUUCCGCAAUGGGCGCAAGCCUGACGAGCGACGCCGCGUGUGGGAUGAAGGCCUCGGUU